rnacentral:misc_RNA from 1 species
AGGAGGGACUGGCACUAGUAACAGCAAAACAUGGAAAAAGCGCUCGAACUUUGAAAAUGUUCAAUCUCUUUGNCCAAAAAUGACUUGAUUUACAAAUAAUCGAUUGAAUACUAAAGGAAAAGGAUGUCUCGAAGUAAUUCCAACUCAAGGAGCUACCGCUCUGGUCGUUCACGUGGAGAANAUAGUAUUUUAUCAAGCGAUAACGAUACAGANUUGAACAACACUUCUUUGGAUGUGGAUUCUUCUUCGACCUUUCUUAUGUCAUCUGCUUUGUCAACGACAAACGUUGAAAGUGACUCAGAAAAUCGAGUUACAAAAGCUAUGAUAGAAAAGAAACAACUUCUGCAUGAUAUAGAAUUACUACGAAUUGAAUUAAGUCAAAAAAACCUGAUGAUUGAUAAUUUGAAAGUUGAGCAUAUGAACANGGUUGAUGAGCUCGAAGAAAAAGUCUCUGAAAAUCGACACGGGAAGCUGAUUUUGCAAGCAAGACUUGAAUCACAGCUUAAACUACAGCAAGAAGAAUCUCAAUCAAGGCUAGAUAGGAUGAGACAAGAAUUGAAUAGUAUCAUGAACAGACAACAACAACUUGAGGAGGAAAAUGAACGAUUACAAGGCAGAGCUGGGGACUUGAGACAAGAUUUAGUUGAUGUUCAGAUUUUAACUGAAGAACAAUACUUAGAACUCAAGACUGCAAAUCCUGACCAAAUGAGCUUAAAAGACUUUGUAUCAGUCAAGAUCUAUNAGGCAGCCCAUCCAUACAAGGUUGAAGUAGAAAGUCUUCUUCAGCAAGUUGACUUGUUGACAAGGCAGCUUUUAAGUAAAGAAGAAGAUGCAGCUUUGUACCAAAAGCAAGCAGAAGAAGAGAGAUUUUCACGCUCUGAGUUGGAGUACAGAGCACAGAGGCUGGCUUUACAAGUUGAAGAUCUAAAGUCCAAGCUACAACANGGAGACUACAAGAAAUCAAAUUUUGACAAUGUUAGAGGUGAGAGAGAUUCUUUGGACAGAGAGGUUAUGGAGUUGAAAAAGUCCAAUACAGUGCUAGAAGCUAGUCUCAAGGCUAAGGUGGAUGAGCUGCAAGAGUAUCAGAAAGAGAUGCAGACUACAAAACAGUCACUUGCCCUUCUGAAACAAGACAAAGAGUAUCUGAACAAACAAGUCCAGGAGCUGAGUACCCGAAGUAGCUUGGCUGAAGAACAUUUACAGCAAGUAACCAAGCAGCUGAAUACUACCAAACAGGCCAGGGAAGAGCUGUAUGAAAAGUAUAUCAGCACCAGAGAGCAAUACAAAUCUGAAUAUGAAAUGAAACUAAAAGAAGAACUGGACAACAUUGGGCUCAAAACAAACUCAGAAUUGGAUAAAAUCAGGAAUGAUACAAAAGAUAUGUAUGAACGAGAGAACAAGAGUCUCAGAGAAGCUAGAGACAAUGCUCUACAUGAGAAGGAACGGGCAAGAAACGCAGAGAAAGAAGUCACAUCAAAAUAUGACCAGCUAUUAUCAGAGUUCCGUCAGCUGCAGGUUAGCUCUGACAGUAAGCAUUCUGAGUUACAGAAUGAACUGAAACUCAAGCAGUUUGAGAUAGACAGAUUACAGAUUCUCUAUGAUGAGACAUCACAGAGUUUUAAGCAACUAAAACUGGAUUAUGAGAAAUGCAGCAAAAAGAAUGAGGUUCUGAUUCAGGAGUUUUAUUCCUUGCAACACAAGACUGACAAGCACAUUUCAUCCCUUGAGUCUGAAACUAAAGAAAAGACAGAAAAACUCAAGUUGUAUGAAAACAUGGAGCAGGAACUUGAUGAUGUUAUCAUGCAAUCUGCAGAAAUUGAGAGUGAAGUUGAUGCAGAAAGGUUCCUAUGUUCCUAUGGAUACGGUGCUAAUGUUCCAAGCACAGCAAAAAGACGGAUGCAACAAAGUGUCCAUCUUGCAAGGAGAGUACUUCAGUUAGAAAGAGCCAACACUUCACUAAGAAAUGAGAUGGAAAGAGAGAAAGCAAAACGAGACAAACUUGAAGAAGAGCUUACUGGUGCGACAAGUCUGUUGAAUGAGGCCAAGCAGCCUUACAAGUACUUGAUAGAAAGCAUGCAAACACGAGAUAGUGAGAACCAAUCACUUAAAGAACAAUUGUCUGGAUUGAAGGAGGAGCUAAAGUAUGAAAACUCAAGCAACAGAAGGAAGAGUUGAUNAAGACAAAAAACUUAAUGACUGCUGAUUUAGAGAGGCUACUCAACCAGAGAGAGGAAAUUUCCCUUUUGAAGCAAACACUGCUUGGCUUAGAACCAUCAUCAAAGCAACAUGAUAUCCAUCAUAGAACUCAGCAAAGAGGCAAAGCUGCUAAGAUGUCA